CAUCUUGUAUAUACUAAUUGUGCUAAUGAAGAGGAAAAUGGUGACCACCAUGGCUUUAACAUCAGAUGGAUAGGAAGACCAGUACAUAAAUAAAAAGGCUAAUUCAGGCUCCAGAGCCAUUCCAUCUCUGCUCAGACAGCCAACCUGACUGCCAAUAGUUUAAUAGAUCAAAUGACUCAGGAGUCAUCUAACCAUCAUCACCAGGAAACAUUUCUCAUCACCUGGAGUCUCUGAGACACUGCCAGAGGGAACAUGAGAUGAAAUGAUCGAUUCUGUUCUGAAGUUGCAGCAGAAGACUACAAGUGAUAUUUUAAACCUCAAUAAAGAGGUCUAUCUGUCUGUGUUAAAGCAAUUGAAUCUCAAACACA